rnacentral:lncRNA from 1 species
GGGACGUUAGACAUUGAUAAUAAUGAACCGAAGCAGAACACAGAGAAAAGAUGAGUCAAAGAAAGUCACUGCUGCCUGAGUCCUGUGAGGCGGAAAGUGCAGCGCAGCUCAACCGUGAACGAACCCUGCAUUUCCUUUACUCUCGGCUGGGAAUCCUGGUCAGUCGGAUCUGCAUCUGCAUCUGUCAUUCAGUGUAAUCAGCUCCAUCUUAGCAUUCUCCAUCCUUGAAGUCUACGGAGCCACUGAAAGCCUCUGGUCCUCAAGGUGUGCUGGAAUAUGACAGGUAGGUUAGUUAUACUACCUGGGGGUUUCGAUUUUUUAAAUUAAUUUGAAGCACCUGAUACUGGUGGCUGUGGAAGGACAAAGGAAGGAAGCCGUGCACGACACUCAGUAUCUCCUAUAAACCCCUCUGCUGAAAACACCACAGGGGUUAAAUUGAGCAGAGCCAACAGGGCUGCAGGUCUCUGGGAAGUUAUUUGAUAACAGGAUUCUCCAAGCAACCAGAUCUGUGCAGUUG